UGGGGAAUUUUGGACAAUGGGGGAAACCCUGAUCCAGCCAUCCCGCGUGUGCGAUGAAGGCCUUCGGGUUGUAAAGCACUUUUGGCAGGAAAGAAACGUCAUGGGUUAAUACCCCGUGAAACUGACGGUACCUGCAGAAUAAGCACCGGCUAACUACGUGCCAGCAGCCGCGGUAAUACGUAGGGUGCAAGCGUUAAUCGGAAUUACUGGGCGUUAAGCGUGCGCAGGCGGUUCGGAAAGAAAGAUGUGAAAUCCCAGAGCUCAACUUUGGAACUGCCUUUUUAACUACCGGGCUAGAGUGUGUCAGAGGGAGGUGGAAUUCCGCGUGUAGCAGUGAAAUGCGUAGAUAUGCGGAGGAACACCGAUGGCGAAGGCAGCCUCCUGGGAUAACACUGACGCUCAUGCACGAAAGCGUGGGGAGCAAACAGG
rnacentral:rRNA from 1 species